AUUGAACGCUGGCGGCAGGCCUAACACAUGCAAGUCGAACGGUAGCACAGAGAGCUUGCUCUCGGGUGACGAGUGGCGGACGGGUGAGUAAUGUCUGGGAAACUGCCCGAUGGAGGGGGAUAACUACUGGAAACGGUAGCUAAUACCGCAUAACGUCGCAAGACCAAAGUGGGGGACCUUCGGGCCUCACACCAUCGGAUGUGCCCAGAUGGGAUUAGCUAGUAGGUGGGGUAAUGGCUCACCUAGGCGACGAUCCUUAGCUGGUCUGAGAGGAUGACCAGCAACGCUGGAGCUGAUACACGGUCCAGACUCCUGCGGGAGGCAGGAGUGGGGAAUAUUGCACAAUGGGCGCAAGCCGGAUGCAGCCAUGCCGCGUGUAUGAAGAAGGCCUUCGGGUUGUAAAGUACUUUCAGCGGGGAGGAAGGCGGUGAAGUUAAUAGCUUCACCGAUUGACGUUACCCGCAGAAGAAGCACCGGCUAACUCCGUGCCAGCAGCCGCCGUAA
rnacentral:rRNA from 1 species